CAGCCGCCACGGUAAUACGAAGGGUGCAAGCGUUAAUCGGAAUUACUGGGCGUAAAGCGUGCGUAGGCGGUUUGUUAAGUCUGUUGUGAAAUCCCCGGGCUCAACCUGGGAAUGGCAAUGGAUACUGGCAAGCUAGAGUGUGUCAGAGGAUGGUGGAAUUCCCGGUGUAGCGGUGAAAUGCGUAGAGAUCGGGAGGAACAUCAGUGGCGAAGGCGGCCAUCUGGGACAACACUGACGCUGAGGCACGAAAGCGUGGGGAGCAAACAGGAUUAGAUACCCCCGUAGUCCCUGUCUCUUAUAU
rnacentral:rRNA from 1 species